UUACUUUUAUUUUUAAACAAUUUACCUAAAUAUCAUUACCAAAUAUGAUCAAAUACAUCCUACAUGACUAUCAUAACCAAAUUUGAUCAAAUAUAUCCUAAGUGACAGUUUUAAAGAAGAAUUAGUCUCUUUAUUUUUAUAUAUCAUAACCAAAUGCGAUCAAAGAUCAUGUUUUUUUUUCACUGAGUUAUUUUUAAAAUUUAGGCCACACAAAUACCAUACAUGAAACAACAAAAAUCAUCAUCUUUUUUCUGUUUAAACAUGUAUCUCUUAUCCUUUCAAAUUUAAAUAUACAGUUCCCAAUAUCUUGUUUUUUAUUCUUUUCUUUUGAAUAUGAUAGUUAUAUGGAAAUAGUUGAUAACUUUUUUCUUAAAAUCACACGCACACAUACAUGUAUUCAAAUUUAAAAAAAAAAAUCAGAUUCAAUUCAGAUUUGAAAAUCAGAUUCAUGCAUUUUCUUUGUACAUCUGUUAGAAAAGCAUCAAUGGUAACGACCAUCUAUCUCCAUUUCCCUUUUUCUUCCAAGUAGUAAGAAACUCAUUUCUGCCAAAACUUUUUGAUGGGUACCAUUUUAGCCUUCUGAAACUUGAAGAUUCAAAGAGCUUUUAAUUGAUUCAGAUUUAUACAAACACCUCACCUGAAAAUUUAAAAGUAAAUUUAUAAUAAUACAACAAAAGAGUUCAACUUUUACUCUAUCAGACAGUCAAUAACCAAAUAAUACUGAAACAUUAACAUGUUCUUAUACCCAAAUCCAUAAAUUCAAACCCAUAACCAAACAACCUGCACAAAAUCAAAAAUAUGAUUAUCGGAUAAAAAACACAAGAUUUAAUCAAAAGUUAUUGGUAUCAUAUGCUAUGUAUAGAUCUAGGUAGAUCUGACCAUCCAACCCAAAAAUCAAUACAACAUAUAUUUUUGAAAUAGCAUAUAUGUCAUAGUUUUGGUAAGAAAUCAACAAUACUCUCGCCAUAGAAGAAAUUAGAAGGCCAAUCUAACUGAUACAAAACUUCAUUUGUGUACCUUCAAAACCUGGAAAAAAACUAAAAUAAAACAUGUGGCAAAGGCUAAAAUAAAUGAAUCAGAGGCACAUCAAACUUACAAGUUACAACAGAUAAAGACAAAUCUUCUUUAAUUUUCCCAUCGAUAAUGAGAAAAAACAUAACCUGAGAACCAAAUUGAAUAUAGGAUAUAUCAUACAUCAGCCCCAAAACUUGCUAGAUUUCUUCAUGAGCGUACUCAUACAGGUGGGAUCGUUUUGCGUGAGGUUGGUUGACGAAAGGCAAAUUACACUUGCAUUGAACUUGAAACCAACUUUUCAUGAUCUGCUCAAAUGAGAAAAAAAAAAUCAGGAAUCAGCAUCUGACUUGCAAAUCCCAAACCAGUAUCUGAUAUUUAAACAAAAAUGGAGUAAAAAUCCCAAACUCAACCCCAAAGAAAAAUCGAGCCAUAUCUGACCUUCAAACGUAGAUUCAGAUCAACCCACCUGCAGUUUGUGGGUUUAGUCAAGAAUCAUUUGUAAAUGAAACCCACAAUCGUAAACUAUUAAAGACACCUUACAUUACCUGACUAAUCUGCCUUCAAAUCUUCGAGGAAUCAACACCGGUUUUAAGGAUAAGGUGGCGGUGGUGCAUAGAUCCUUAGGUUUUCUAAGAGAGGAAUAAGGUGAUAGUGGUGAUGAAGCAGGGAAGAUGACGGCCUGAGAUCCGUAUGGCUUGAGAGAGAGAGAGAGAGAGAGAGAGAGAGAGAGAGAGAGAGAGAGAUCUUAAUCUCGUAUAGUGGUGACCGAGGUUGGUUGGUGGCGAGUGGCUGUAGAUGGUGGUGAAUAUAGCAGCGAGUGGCUGUAGAUGGUUUUGAAGCCGAUUUAACUAUUUUUAGCCACAAUCACCAUCAUUCAAUCAGUUUUUUCUUGGUAGUGAGAGGCGAUGAACAAAGUAGAUUCUUGUAUAUUGUUGCCUUCGAGAGAAGAAAUGGCAUCACAUAUAGGGAUGGUUCUUUGAGAGAUGACUGAUGAGAGGUUGUAUAUCUCUUGUUGACUGAUUCAAUUCGAUUUAGGCGAGACAAUACAGGGUCAACUUUGAUCGAUUCAAUUUACAGAUAUUCAAGCGGUUAAGUUGAGA
rnacentral:lncRNA from 1 species